UUGAUUGGAGUGAGAUUUAUUGUAGAAAAUUUGUUCAUCCUCUAAAUCCACCAUUGCAUAGUUCUACAGAGUAUUCGAAUGAAGAAACAAACAGAGAAUAUUGUAUCCGCAACAAAAAGGUUUUUAUUUUUUGAUAAAAUUAAUACGAAAGAAGUCAUUAAAAAUCGUAAGCAUCCGUGAUUUCACACGCGUUUUUCAAAACCCUUACAAAUUAUUUAAGUAAAAUCGAGUUU